UUCUAUAAUCUUAACUAUUCCGUUAACCCUUUACACUCGUGGGAAUAUGCCUAUAUUGCAACCGAAGUAAAGCCAGAUUCAGGUUGGAUAUUCGCCUGUAGUUUUCCUUACCUCCACCAACAGCAGUUAGCAGUCAACAUAGUGACAAAUCAAAUUUUUCAAAUUUCAAUACUAACCAUUACUCCUAAAACGUUAACUGGUUCUAGCUAACCCGAUGGCAUAGACACACAUUGCACACACUUUAAAAAAACACAUUUAUUUUACAUCUCGCACUAUUUAAAAUGAUUUAUUUACAUGUUUUUAUUUCAAUAGCUCCUUGGUCAUGUGACCUACUGACUUCAAACAAGGUUCAAAAUUUACUCUCAGCACACCCUUUAGUUUGUCCAUUAUCACCUCACGUUUUUACAUUAGUUUUUCAAACUUUAUAAUUUCAAUAGCACCUUGGUAAUGUGACCCACUGACCGCAAACUACUUGUCCAUGGACUGGCGGAGACAGGUGCCGCUAGGCAUCCAGUGCGGUAACGCGACUGACCCCGGAGAAACUGGCGGGAGCCCCGGGGAGAGUUAUUUUCUUUGUGAAGGGCAGAGCGGCCUGGAAUGGGUUCGCCCCGGGAGAGGGGCCCAAGCCCUGGAAAGCUUUGCGGUUUCGGCGGCGUCCGGUGAGCUCUCCCUGGCCCUUGAAAAUCUGGGGGCGAGGGUGUACAUCUCACGCCGGGCCGUACCCAUAUCCACAGCAGGUCUCCAAGGUGAACAGCCGCUGGCAUGUUAUAACAAUGUAGGUAAGGAAAGUUGGCAAAAAAGAUCCGCAACUUCGGGGUAAGGAUUGGCUCUAAGGGCUGGGUCGGUCGGGCUGGCUGGGGUGCGAAGCGGGGCUGGGCUCGAGCUGCGGCUGGGGGAGCAGUUGCUCUGUCGCCCUUUUUUAUUUAAUAUUUUUUUUAUUUCACCUUUAUUUAUCCAGGUAGGCCAGUUGAGAACAAGUUCUCAUUUCCAACUGCGACCUGGCCAAGAUAAAGCAAAGCAGUGCGACAAAAACAACAGCACAGAGUUACACAUAAACAUACAGUCAAUAACACAAUAGAAAACUCUAUGUACAGUGUCUGCAAAUGUAGAAGAUUAGGGAGGCCCUCCUCUCGCCACCAUUGGAAGUUCGUUUUGCGGCCCAUCUCAUGGUCUCUCGUGCGUGGUCUCGCAAGGGGCUGCGUGUGGGGGUUCGUCGGGGUGGUGUCUGUUGGCCGGGCGAAGGCGGUUGGCGGCGGAAACUCUGGACGCGCUCCUGGCCCUUCUCGCAGAUCUCGCCAGCUACGGAGCUCGCCGGCCCCAUACAUUGUAGGUGGGGAGGUCUCCUCUACGCUCACUAGACUUGAGGCGGAGACUAAACCCAUUGGCCCUGCAAUGAUAGGGCAUUGCAUGGAUCUGGCUCAUGCCCUAUGAAGUGGGGAGAGGUAUCUCCAGCUUGUCUGGGGAAGGAGGGCUACAUUUGAUGUGUGUAGUACCAUCCACACCCAUUGAUUUGCUGCAGAACAAUAAAACGGACGGAAGAAGCUUAGGUUCCCACUGGUCACGGAUCACUGAAUGUCAACUUGAUGAAAUUCAAAGGAGCGUACCCACAUGUCGCGGUAACACUCAAAUCAACCGUGGAGUGACUGUGACCCCCUCAUGUCAGUGAGGAAUAUCAAUGAAGCGCUGGUUAAGGUGGUUCCUAUGUCUCUGUCCCGGAGGGCUGACUGGGCAAGCAAAUAAUUGAAAGGGUAUGAUUCUUUUCUGUUGCUUCUUCCGACACCCGGUCGAUGGUGCCGCUAGAUACUACGAGGGUUAUUUGGUUUUCAAGCCUAUAAGUAUUGUGCUGGCACUUGAAGUCGAUUGGGUGUAAAAACCCAGUUAAAGUCCGCUGAAGCUUAGUAGCGGCAACUGAUGUCCAGUUUGUAAGAUAGAAAAGCCUCUGAUGAUGCCACCGGGCGUUACUCAAAUGGAUGUCAAUUUUAUGAUAUCUGACCGUAGCAUGCUAGCCUUCGCGGUCGCUCUCAAACUACCUUCAGGGUGGCUGUGCCCCCCUCAUGUCAAAGUGAGGAAAUUCGAUGAAGCAGGGAUAAAUGGCGGGACAUAAUUGAGUCUCUUGAGGUAGUCAAAUGCCUCGUCAUCUAAUUAGUGACGCGCAUGAAUGUAGGAACGAGAUUCCCACUGUCCCUACCUACUGUAGCAAAACCACAGUCAAGGUAACGGGCUUGAUGGAAUCAGCGGGGAAAGAAGACCCUGUUGAGCAUGACUCUAGGCUAGCACUGUGAAGAGACAUGAGAGGUGUAGAAUAAGUGCGAGGCCUUUGUUGCGGGUGAAAUACCACUACUCUUGUCGUUUUUUCACUUACUUGGGGAGGUGAGCCCUGGGUGCUCACGCCGGGUGCGACCCGCUCCGGGGACAGUGGCAGGUGGGGAGUUUGACUGGGGCGGUACACCUGUCAAACGGUAACACAGGUGAGCUUAUGGAGUACAGAAACUUCCCGUCGAGCAGAAGGGCAAAAGCUCGCUUGAUCUUGAUUUUCAGUAUGAAAAGUGGGACCUCACGAUCCUUCUGAAUUUUUGGCUUUUAAGCAGGAGGUGUCAGAAGUUACCACAGCGAUAGCUGGCUUGUGGCGGCCAAGCGUUCAUAGCUACGUUGCUUUUUGAUCUUUCGAUGUCAGCUCUUCCUAUCAUUGUGAAUCAGAAUUCACCAAGCGUUGGAUUGUUCACCCACUAAUAGGGAACAUGAGCAGGGUUUGGACCAUCGUGAGACAGUUUAGUUUUACCCUACUGAUGAUGUGUUGUUGAAAUAGUAAUCCUGCUCAAUACGAGAGGAACCGCAGGUUCAGACAUUUGGUGUAUGUGCUUGGCUGAGGAGCUAGUGGUGCGAAGCUACCAUCUGUGGGAUUAUGACUGAACGCCUCUAAGUCAGAAUCCCCCCUAAACGUAACGAUAUCGUAGCGCCGUGGAUCUUCGGUUGGCCUGGGAUAGCCUCCCUCUUUUUGACAGGUGAAUAGAGCCGUUUGUGACGAGGUUGGGGUGCGGCUGGAUAAGUUGCUGCCCCUCUCCUGAUGCGCACCGCAUGUUUGUGGGGAACCUGGUGCUAAAUCACUCCAUAGACGACCUGAUUCUGGGUCAGGGUUUUGUACGUAGCAGAGCAGCUCACUUGCUGCGAUCUAUUGAUAGUCAGCCCU
rnacentral:rRNA from 1 species